UACGUAGGCAGCAAGCGUUGUUCGGAAUUACUGGGCGUAAAGAGUGUGUAGGCGGUGCUCUAAGUCUGUUGUGAAAUCUCCCGGCUUAACUGGGAGGGUGCGGCGGAAACUGGAGUGCUCGAGGGUGGGAGAGGAAAGCGGAAUUCCUGGUGUAGCGGUGAAAUGCGUAGAUAUCAGGAGGAACACCUGCGGUGUAGACAGCUUUCUGGACCACUUCUGACGCUGAGACGCGAAAGCCAGGGGAGCGAACGGG
rnacentral:rRNA from 1 species